rnacentral:rRNA from 1 species
GUGAACGCUGGCGGUAGGCCUAACACAUGCAAGUCGCACGGCAGCACAGUAAGAGCUUGCUCUUACGGGUGGCGAGUGGCGGACGGGUGAGGAAUACAUCGGAAUCUACUUUUUCGUGGGGGAUAACGUAGGGAAACUUACGCUAAUACCGCAUACGACCUACGGGUGAAAGCAGGGGAUCUUCGGACCUUGCGCGAUUGAAUGAGCCGAUGUCGGAUUAGCUAGUUGGCGGGGUAAAGGCCCACCAAGGCGACGAUCCGUAGCUGGUCUGAGAGGAUGAUCAGCCACACCGGAACUGAGACACGGUCCAGACUCCUACGGGAGGCAGCAGUGGGGAAUAUUGGACAAUGGGCGCAAGCCUGAUCCAGCCAUACCGCGUGGGUGAAGAAGGCCUUCGGGUUGUAAAGCCCUUUUGUUGGGAAAGAAAAGCAGCAGGUUAAUACCCCGCUGUUCUGACGGUACCCAAAGAAUAAGCACCGGCUAACUUCGUG